rnacentral:lncRNA from 1 species
CACGCUCCAUGCCUUUGAAUGAUCAUCCAGUGAUCAUUCAUGACUGUUGGCCUGGAAAUGGAGCUGAGAAUUAACUAGUAACGGCUGGAUAGGAUCCAAAGAAGAGGUCAUUUACCAGCUGGAGCCAAGGACUGAUGUGGAGCAUGUGAAGUCGUUGCCUUGCAUGAACUAGGAACUGGUUAGAAGGGCGGACUCUCACGUUGUCCCAUCUUUGGUCGACUGAACCAGAUUCUACAUCUUAAGGCCGCUCCAAGGUGCUUCUAUGCAAAUUAAAGUAUGCGAUCUCACCUCUGUUUUGUGCAGAAGGGCAGGAGUGGCUUUCUCAUGACUAAGCGUCAUGGUGGACUCCCAUGUUUUCCGAAAGGCGCAGUGCCCUGUGAUAUGCACAAUUAUUCCAACUGUAGCAAAGACUGUGGCCAGAUAGCACUGACCUGAGAUAAGGGGAGAGAGGACUGUGACACUCACAAAGCCCCCUCCUAAGAAGACUCAGUUGCUGGGCGCCAAGAGGCUCGUGAGACACUAGAUGAGGCAACUGCACUUUCAGGGAUAGAUAGAUACUAUAGAUGAAUUUUCUGCAGCCCGCUGAUGUGUUAGACCUGUGCAUGCUGGUCCGCUGCAAGGGUUUGAGGCGAUCAGUUCCUUGGGACAGCAAAGGCAAUUCCCAGGAACUGUCUCUCCUAAGCCUGCAGCUUCUCAGCAAAUAAAAGGGGCUCAGAGCAAUGCUCAAGGCCAGACUCACGCUCUUCACAAAGUCGUCCCAUCCAACCGUCUGGGCAGGAGCAAGCGUUUGGUCGU